rnacentral:lncRNA from 1 species
CAAGGUUGUCUCGAUCUCCUGACCUCGUGAUCCGCCCGCCUCAGCUCCCAAAGUGUUGGGAUUACAGGCGUGAGCCACUGCGCCCGGCCAUUUUUGCCUACUUUCAUAGGGAAAAGGGAUAGCAGCACCAAGCUGAGGCUUCCUUCGAAUUCUCCCAUGACUUUGUUUCCCCAACCUCUCUUAGCCCAUCUCCUGAGCUGUCUGAGCAGCCUGAACAUGCAUUCCGUGCCCAGCUACCUCACCCAGCCUCCACCUCCUCCUCCACCUCCUCCACCACUGCCCCCACCGCCACCACCUCAGCCUCCACCACCUCCACCCCAGAGCCUGGGCCCCCCUGGGCGUCCCAACCCUGGUGGGAA